AGAGCGAACGCUGGCGGCAGGCCUAACACAUGCAAGUCGAGCGGCCGUAGCAAUACGGCAGCGGCAGACGGGAUAGUAACACGUGGGAACGCGCCCUUCGGUUCGGAAUAACUCAGGGAAACUUGAGCUAAUACCGGAUACGCCCUUACGGGGAAAGAUUUAUUGCCGAAGGAACGGCCCGCGUCCGAUUAGCUAGUUGGUGAGGUAAUGGCUCACCAAGGCUCCGAUCGGUAGCUGGUCUGAGAGGAUGACCAGCAUCACUGGGACUGAGACACGGCCCAGACUCCUACGGGAGGCAGCAGUGGGAAUAUUGGACAAUGGGCGCAAGCCUGAUCCAGCCAUGCCGCGUGGAUGAUGAAGGCCUUAGGGUUGUAAAGUCCUUUUAACGGGGAAGAUAAUGACGGUACCGUAGAAUAAGCCCGGCUAACUUCGCGCCAGCAGCCGC
rnacentral:rRNA from 1 species